CUUAGAGGAGCUCCUAACCAAGGUGUUAACAUCAACCAGACCUUAGAGGAGCUCCUAACCAAGGUGUUAACAUCAACCAGACCUUAGAGGAUCUCCUAACCAAGGUGUAAACAUCAACCAGACCUUAGAGGAUCUCCUAACCAAGGUGUUAACAUCAACCAGACCUUGGAGGAGCUCCUAACCAAGGUGUUAACAUCAACCAGACCUUAGAGGAGCUCCUAACCAAGGUGUUAACAUCAACCAGACCUUAGAGGAGCUCCUAACCAAGGUGUAAACAUCAACCAGACCUUAGAGGAUCUCCUAACCAAGGUGUAAACAUCAACCAGACCUUAGAGGAUCUCCUAACCAAGGUGUUAACAUCAACCAGACCUUGG
rnacentral:lncRNA from 1 species